GAGCAGAGCCAGGUCGCCCGAGCCGCGAGUGAAGGUGACGCUGCGGGUGCCGCCUCCGCCCCAGCCCUCCUUCUUCACCCGGAACUGUAGUCUGUGGGGAAAGGAGGAAGCUAGGGGGCGCCCGCUGGGGACCGCAGGGGGCGCAGGAGAGGCGGGGACGUACGUGUCGCUGAAGGUACCGGGAAUGGGUUCAUCUGUGCUAAGGGUUUUGGUGCGGAGCUGGCGACAAGGGCCCGGAUGCGGCCAGUGGCAGCUGCCGCCUCACCUUGAAACGGCGGUCAUACUUGGUGAUCGAGUCAGCGAAGUCUACUCGCUCCCUCUUGCCCAGGAACUGGCGCAGCUCCGGCCGCUCCUCCAGCCCCAGUGACAGAAAUCUGCCUCACACAACGAAAAGCAGAGCGACAUGGGAACAGGAUACCCGGGUGUCCCCACGGCUCACUGACUGAGGUUCUUCAGGUCCUCCCCAUGCCCUGCCCACCUGCUCGGCCUUCAGGGUGAGCUCGAUGAAGAUCUGCUGCAGUUUUUCGUUGACGAAGUUGAUGCAGAACUGCUCAAAGCCAUUUUUCUGCAGAGGGGGAAGGUCUCUGAUGAGUAAGUAUGCUGGUGCCAAGACCUUGGUGGCCUCUGAGCUGCCCCGAGGUUGCCGGGAGGACAGGAUGUGGUUUGGGUGUUGGGGUGCAGGCAUCAAACCUGGAAGAUCUCGAAGCCGUAGAUGUCAAGCACGCCUAUGCUGUACUCUUCCUGAGGCUUCUGCAUCGCGCGGUUGAUGGCCUGCAGGUGGGAGAACAACAGGUCACACCAUGACACCCCCCUCCCAGUGUGAUUCUUGUGGGUAGAACCCAGAGCCUCACGCAUGCUAGGUAGGUGCUCCACCACUAAGCUACAGCCCUAGUCCUUUUAAUUUAGUCUUAAAAUGUUGAGACAAUGUCUCACUAAAUUUCCCAGGCUGGCGUUCAACUUGAGAUCUUUCUGCCUCAGCCUCCCAAGUAGCUAUGGGUAUGGGCCAUGGUACCCAGCCCCACUACCCUCUUCUUAGGCUAACAAGACUGUUAGGCUACAAAUUCUCUUACCAGUUUCUUCCUUGCCCCGAGUCCAGUCAGUCACUCAUAAAAGUGGUGGAGUGUUGGGGACUCAGGAAUGGCUUUGCCAUUUUACCUGUCUAUGCUUCGAUUUUCUUAGCUUUAAAAGAGUGAAUAACUGCAGGUACUGGGCCGUGGUGCAGCUCUGUGGUAAACCUUUGGUCUAUAUAUAGAAGGAUCUGGGCUCCGUCUCUAGCACCACGCAGCAAAAAUAACAAAUUCAACAAGCAACUACAGGUUGAGGGUCCCUCGUUAGUUUUUUUUUUGAGGGGAUGGUGCCCGUGAUGGAGCUUAGGUUCUUGAUCAUGUUAUAAAAUGGUCCACCACUAAGCUACACUGUUGGCCCUGAGUGUCCUUCAUUAGAAAUGCUUGUGACCAAAAAUAUUUCAGGAUUUGGAUUUGAGAAUAUUUGCAUAAAUGUAUAAUUGCAAGUUAUCUCUGGACGGUUCCUGAACACAGAAUUAAAACACAGAAUUCAUUUGUGGAACACAUAUACAUUAUCCACAUAAUCCAAAGGUCAUUUUAUUUCAUUACUAUUAUUGUUAAUAUUUGCUAUAUCCAAUGGUAAUUUUAUAUACUAUUUUUAAUGCACCUGUGUCUCCCCCGUGCCCCAGGAACCGGAGAUUGAAUUUAGAGUCUUUACACUCAGCUAUAUUUCCAGCCUUUUAAAACAGUUUUUCAAAUUUUGAGAGAAAGUCUUGCUAAGUUGCUCAGUUACCCAGGCUGGGCUUGAAUUUAUGGUCCUCCUGCCUCAGCCUCCCAGACUGACGGGAUUACAGACAUGUGCCAUUGUACUCAGCUGGCACCUACAUAUUGACUUCAACCCAUGCCUAUGAGGUCAGGGUUGAAAUUCUGCACUUGUGCUGUCCUGUGGGUACUCAAAAGUCUUGGAUUUUGGAGUUUCAAAGUCUUUGGAUUUGAGAGUUUCCAAUUAAAGACACCUAACCUGUAAAUUACAAGGCUUUUUCUGAGACUGUAAGAAGGUGACACACAUAAAACACUUAGGACUGUGCUACACAACGUUUGUGGCUGCGGUGAUUAUUCUUAGCCCUGGACCAUCCUGUUCCUCUACAGCUCCAUCCCAUCUUUCAUCACUUCACCUCCUUGACAAACUUCCGCAUGGCUCUCACGUGUAUCUGCCUCUGCAUCCCUGCUAUGGUUGACACCUACACAUCCCUAAAGUCUCCUGUGCCCAUUGGCAAGGGUCUCAGGAAGGCGAUUGGAUUGCAGGGGCUUAGAGAGGCCAGCCUCUUAAGAGGCGGAAUCUGAUUGGAAGAGAUGUCGCUGGGGGCGUGGCCUGGGAGGGAUUUUCCCUCCUGGGCUCCUCCCUUCUCUCUCUGCUUCCUGUCCACCAAAGUGGGAGCCGCUCCCUCUGCCGUUGGUCCUUCCUUGGAGCCAGCCAACCACGGACUGAAACAUGGGUCCAGAUAAACCUCUACUCCCUACGCUGUGGAUGUUGGGGGUUUUCGUCCCAGCAAGGAGGCAAGGAACUAAGACAAUGCGUCUCACUCUGACACUGUCCAUGUCUUCUACUGGACGUGGACAUGUGGAAAGCCGCCCCCACCCUCAGGAUUCGGUGACACAGUGAUAGUGGUGCAGGUCCAAGGCCACCCGGCAGCCCUAGCCCAGGCCCCACUCGCCUCCACCAGGAAGUCGAAGAGGCGGGCGUAGAGCCCCUUGGCCAGCGCGUCGCGGGUGUAGGCUGCCUGCUCCACAUUGAGGGUCACGUCAAUGGACUCGCUGCGCCCGCCCCAGCGGCUGUCCAUCUUGCGGCUAGUCAGCUUCUCCUGCAGCCGGCCGCUGUCGAUGCCCAGCAGAAGACAAAAUUACAGCACAGAGAGAUGGGGCAGCUCCCUGAGGUCACCCAGCGCAGCACGGCAGAGCAAGAGGAGAGGACGCUCGAGCUGGGCCCGGUGCUUCCGGUCAGAGGCCUGAAGCUGGUCAGCAUGUUCCUGAAUGAAUGAAAUACCACGGGGAUGUGUCUUGCCUCAUGAGCCUCUGUCUGUGGCCCCACAUCUCCGCGGGUCACAUGGAGACUGUCUGCUCCUGAGUCCCUUCCUUGGGGGCAGAGAUACAACCCAGAGGCUGCGGUCACAGUUGACCACAGCAGAGGAUGAGCCAACAGCCGAGCCUUGUGCAACAGCGGAGACCUUUUCUCUCCAUCCCCUUGGCAACCAGCCCUGGACGAGCGGCUGCAUCCGUGAUCUCUUUGCUUCGUGUCUGUGUUUUAAAAACUACUGCUGCCGCCAACCGCAGUGGCGCAUGCCUGUCAUCCCAGCACUCAGGAGGCCGAGGCGAGAAGAUCGUUGUGAGUUCCAGGCCAGCCUGGGCUACACAGAAGAUUGUGUCUCGAAAAUAGCAGCGACAAAAACCAAACAAACAAAAGAAAAUCAAAAUGAAAACAGAAAAUCAAAUGAAAGGUACUACAGCUGCUCUCCUGUCUGCACCCCUCACACCCGGAAAAGUCAAAGGGGAGCUGCUAAGAACGCCUGCGCCAGCACCGGACGAGGAUACCCGAGUCCCUGCAAUCGCUCAGCAUCACCGGGAUAAAGGAUGCUUUGGAUGGAACCCAGGGCCUUCCCACUGCGCUGCAUCUCUGGUCCUUACGUGACUCCAUUUCAUUCUGGGAAGGGUGCCUAGAAGGAAACACUGAGAUGGAGGUUUUGCAAAAGGGAAGGAGUCUGGGGGACCAGGAGCGAGUGCAGAGGGAAGAAAAAGCCGUAGGAUGAGUCCUGUCCCUGUGCUAAAACCCACAGUGAGCGGAAGCGUAUGUCAUACACGUGAGCUAAAUAACAACGACAAUAAUAAUAAAUAAUGAAGAUGGGUGAAAGGAGCAGGGGGAGGGAGGUGGGGGGAAGAGAGGAAUAAAAAGAAGUGGGAUGGGGGCUGGAGAUUUAGCUCAGCCGUAUAAGCGCCUGCCUUGCAAGUAUGCGGUCGUGAGUUCUAUCCCUGGUACCGAUAAAAACGAAAACGACAAAAAAAAAAAAAAAAAAAAAAAAAAAAAAGAAAGAAAGAAAGAAAUACUAUUUAUUUAUGUAUUUUUUUCAAGGCAGGGUUUGAUUGAGUUGCAGAGGCGAGGUUUGAACUUCGGACCCUCCUGCCUCGGCCUCCCAGUGCUGGGGUUCCAGGCAUGCACCACCCCUCCCAGCUACCAUCAGCCCUUAAAGUGGGGUGUCCUGGUACAUGCCUGCAAUCCCAGCACUUGGGAGGCUGAGGCAAGAGGAUCAUUGCCAGUGGGUUCAAUGCCAGCCUGAACUGCGUAUGGAGACCCUGUCUCAAAAAGACAAACCUAACCACACCCUGAACAACUGACUGCCAUCCGUAAUGACAACAAGCAUUAAUGAUAACAGCAUGGUUAACCGCGCUGGCCAUCAGCCACCACACACAGCUGCCAUAGCAACUCGAGGCCAUGGCACUCAUGAAUCAUUCCCAUCCAAAAUCCAAGAAAGAAUUGCAGUCCUCGUGAGGGCUGCCAUCACCGGAAGCUGGCAAUGAGCUACCGACAGCAAGCAAACUAUCAACGCCACCCAGUUCCAAAUAACAGCAACCGCUAGUUGUCACCAGCAUCUACCCACCACCAGCCCCCUGCAAGGUUUCCAGCAGGAAACAAUGGACCAUCAGUGACCAGCCUCAAACACCAGCUGUCCCCCAGGGUGACCACCCUGAGAGCCGGGCGUGGUGGCACAUGCCUGUCAUCCCAGCACUGGGAAGGCUGAGACAGGAGGGUUGCUGCAAUUCCGAGGCCAGCCAGGACCACACAGCGAAUUCAAAGCCAGCCUGAGUUACAGAGUGAGAUGCUCUCUCAAAAACAAAAUAAAACGAAAAAAAAACUCAAAAGACAACCACCGUUGUCACCAAGCCACCCACAGGGACCAUGGCCAACACCAACUGCACAAACCAAUAGCAACCACCAUGAUGGUCAACAGCAACAACCCGGUGAGCACACCCCCUCGCCCUGACCCUCCCACAACAACGCAGAGUGAGCUCUGUGUUCCUGCCAAGACAGAGCCCACUCACUGCAUAGCUCAGCUGCACCACUAGAGUCACUGGGAAGGACGGGCCGUGGCUGUAUUCUGCAGUGGGUAAACCUCCCUGCUCACGGCAGCUGCCACGGGCGGGUUUAGGGGCUGGAGCCCUUCGGGGAGCCCUUCGGCGGUGGCACCCUGCUGUCCACGGGUCCCCAGGGUGCUAGCGCCAGACACAGAGGCUGUUCGCAGUCCACUUCCCUCCCACUUCUCUUUCUUCUGUCUCUUGUUCUUUCUUCCUUUUUUCUCUGUCUCUCUGUCUGUCUGUUUGCCUUUUUGAGACAGAGUUUUGCCCUGCACUUCAGGAUGGCUUGAACUCACUUUGUAGCCCAGGCUGCCCUUGAAUAUGUGGUGAUCCUCCUGCCUCAGCCUCCCGAGUGCUGGGAUUACAGGUGUGCGCCACCACAUCUGACUUGUUGCUGGCUGUCCCUUCCUUCCUUCCUUCCUUCCGUCCUCCCUUCCUUUUCCUCUCCCUCUCCCCUGCUCCAUACCUAUUCUCUCUUUGAUGCCAGCAGACUGUCGAACUCUUCACGGAGUCUCUGGGGUUCUCUCCUCCCCAGGAGGAACUCGAGUCCUGUGUCCUUUGAGCCUCCCCUGCCCAUCCGGGCUCCUGCAACUCCCUGCAUGGCUCUGGACUGUAAGGUCCCUUACAUGCCCAGAACUCCCCUGGUGGUUUGGGGUCCGUGAGCACCCCAAGAGGACCUUGGCCACUGAGCCUGGUGUACCCCUGGCUCUUGGAAAGAUCGCUUUCAGGCCAGCCUCAGCUCCUACCUUGCCCACUCUUGGUCUCAGCCCCACUCAGACGUCCGCUGAAACCGCCAGAACCUGCAACCGUCCCUGUCCCGGCCACACACUGGCGUCCGCCUGACAGAUGACACAAACUGAAAGCCGAAGUGCCGUGCAGAAGCUGCGACUCUGGGCAACUGUAACAGCCACCUGGGCUCCCCCCACUUGCCUGUUGGUGCCUGAUGCUACAGUGUGCCCCUCCGUGUCACCAUCAGCAGCACCUCAAGCGUGGGGUCUUGGGGUCAUGGCAGGAGCUGGGCCACCCCACCUCCUGCCUCAUGACCGCUGCGGCCGAAUCAGCCACCGCACACACAGCCACGGUCCCUGCCCCUCCGUCUGCAUGCAGCCCCCUCCCACCAUGGGCACAGGAUGCCCCACCCCCGUGUGUCCCAACUAGAAGACCCCCGAGGACGGCUUCCCGAUCCGGACUGACUCCCAGGUAGGACAUCUCCACAAGGCGAGGGCAACAGAGGGGAGGCCACUUGCUUGGCGCCACAUGAGGAGGUGAGGGUCUCAGAGGUCCCCAAGCCCCAGGAAGAGGCUCAGGUCCUGUCCUGGCAGAUUCUGUGUGGCCCCCUCCAGGCCACCUGCCGGCUGUUGCUACCUGCACCAUUCCUGGUCCCCAUGGUCACCCUGCAUCCUCAGCUGCCAGCUUGGACCCUGGUCAGGGACCCAGGGGCUGCCCAGCAGCACCGAGGGCCCUCCAGAGAGCUCCCCACUGUGCUUCCCGUUGCCCCUCCCCAGGGGUGGUCUUCAGGGCCCCGACCCAGGGCCCUAUGUCUGCCCCGAGCCUGCUGGGGGACUCACCAUGGUGGGGGCUGGCGACUGUCAGGAACACCAGGUGACUCUCACAGGGCCCCCGGGGGCGGCUCGGGCAUGACCCUGCUCGGCCUCCUCGCUGCCUGCUGGUCCCAGUUCCUCCUUCAGCGGCUCCCUCUCACUUCCUUUGACGGGAGUGGCCGCGGGGAGGGCGGGGAGGGCGGGGAGACAGCAGAGCCCCAGCAGAGGUGAUGCAGCGCUGGGGGGCUGCUGGGCCUCUGAGCUUGCAGGAGGAGGCCAAAGAGCACCAGCCAACUCUAGGACGCCCCUUCUCCACCCAUCCCCUGGGGGACAAGAGCCCCCAGCAGCUGAGGCUGCAGGACCUGCCACCUCUUUGCAAGGUCAGGGUCACAAGCCUUUGGGGUGCUGGGGCUUCUGUUCCUCUCCAAGGAAAGGAGCUCCCUCUUCCUCACGCCUCUGCUAAUGCUGAGGAUGUCAGCCCUGGACCAGCACCCCCAGCACAUGAGCAGGCCACACCCUUGUCUUCUGAUGACAUUUGAAGAAAUGGCUUCGCAGAGGUCGUCAUUUCCUCACGGCAUCCUGGGGAAGGCGGUUGUGGCAGCACUGGACCCUGGGUGGGCCUCACGGGGAUCUGUUCUCCAGGACCCUGUUUGGUCCAGGCCUGAGCGCCGGGAUGUCUGGCGCAGGCACACCCUCUUGGAGGCUUAAAAAAAAAAAAAAAGAUGCAGCGCCUCCUAGUGGCCAUUUCUGGGGAAGCUCCUGCCUCGGAUUUCUUGAGCAACUUUUGCUGAAUUGUGCAAAAAGUCAACUAUUGGGUCCUGGCCUAGAUUCCCGAUCUCCCAAACGAGUGUACGGCAUAAAAAGAGAUAAACUGUAUGACUUUUUAGGGCUCCAGGAGGGUCAAAACACUUUAAGUUUGUGACUGCAAGGGCUAAGACAGAAUUUUCUGGAUCUGUUCACUUUUAUUAGGAUCAAGGACCAAAGGCAGGGAAACUGAGGAAAGCCCAGGCAAUGAGCAGGACCUUGGGAGUCACUUCAAUGACGUCUCUAAGUAAUGAAUCAAGUCAAUUCAGUAGCACUGUCUUAUCAUGAAGGCAUGGUUGGAGUGAGACUGUAGGAGUAAUCUUUGCAGCUGCAGUCUCUACCGUGUUAAUUGGGUUGGAGCCAGAGUGUCCGCAGCUGUGGCCUUAUGUUGCCCUUUGAGGUAUCUCUGGCCUCACAGGCCACUUCAGGCCUCGGCCAGCACCAGUGAUUCACAGAGGUUCACUUACUAUGAAUCAGCUCCCAUCGCCAGGCCAGGGGCCAAAGCCUAGGACAGACUCACAGACAAACACAGAACGCCAAUUAGCAAAAUUUAAAUCCUGCUCAGAGCUGCUUUGUAGCGGUCUCCAAUAGUCAACAGUGUGUUGGGGGUGUGGGUGGGGAGUAAGCGGGUACAAUCAUGAUGGAAAUCAGCAGGGAGAGCCCCUCCCACCUCCCUAAAGCGGAAUUAGAUUUCCACUGGACUGAGCUGUUCCUCCUCGAGGUAUUUUCUGAGAGUCCAACACAGCAGCACCCUCCUAACAGCUAAGUCUCGACAGCAGCCUCUCUGUCCACCGACAGCUGAAGGGUAGGGGAGACCUAUUUACAGGCCGGGGAGCACUGUGCUGCUGUAAAAGGAUAAACCAGGAGAAGGGGCGCACCCCGGGAUCACAGCGUGGAGGGAAAUAAACCAGACACGCAGGCUUGAAUAUCGUAUGGUUCCUUUUAUGGGAGAAACCCAAAGUAUAAAUAACUGAGAGAGAAAACAAAAGACGAUAGCGAAUGGAGAUAGGACCUGUUACAAUUCGAAGGGCAUCCCGAGAGGGAGGAGAGGCGAGAGCCCAAGGCAGCGGGGAGUUAAAAAGGACUGAGGUGUGUUUUGCACACCUGUCAACUCCCCACGAUGCGUGCACCACAGACACACACUAAUAAAACUGUAAAAAUUAAAAGAAAAAA